AGCGUAGACGGAUGGACAAGUCUGAUGUGAAAGGCUGGGGCUCAACCCCGGGACUGCAUUGGAAACUGCCCGUCUUGAGUGCCGGAGAGGUAAGCGGAAUUCCUAGUGUAGCGGUGAAAUGCGUAGAUAUUAGGAGGAACACCAGUGGCGAAGGCGGCUUACUGGACGGUAACUGAUGUUGAGGCUCGAAAGCGUGGGGAGCAAACA
rnacentral:rRNA from 1 species